GAUUUUGGUGAAAUGAGCUCUCAAUUUGACUAAUCGGUAUCAAGUAUUUUGGUUCUGUUUGCGGGAAGCCUGAAUGUGAGCUUUGAUAUUAUUUUCCUUUGCGAUCGACGAAUUCUUCUUUUGCAGAAAAAAUCUCGGCCUCCUUCUGAUCAUGUUUGGUUGUAGGAUUUUCCCCAUAUUAUUCCGAAGCUGAGGUAACUCAAAGGCUCAGCAAUGCUAAAUCAGCGGUCAGAGUUGCUGCAUUGCCAAGUCAUGUAGAUCUUGCAAAAAAACUCCAGGUGGAUAUGUAC